AAUCAUGGAGUAUAAAAAUUAAAUUUAAUAAAUUUAAUAUAACUAUUAAUAGAAUUAGGUUACUAAUAAAUUAAUAACAAUUAAUUUUAAAACCUAAAGGUAAACCUUUAUAUUAAUAAUGUUUUUUUUUUUUUAUUUUUAUAAUUAAGAAUAAUUAUUAAUAAUAAUAAACUAAGUGAACUGAAACAUCUAAGUAACUUAAGGAUAAGAAAUCAACAGAGAUAUUAUGAGUAUUGGUGAGAGAAAAUAAUAAAGGUCUAAUAAGUAUUAUGUGAAAAAAAUGUAAGAAAAUAGGAUAACAAAUUCUAAGACUAAAUACUAUUAAUAAGUAUAGUAAGUACCGUAAGGGAAAGUAUGAAAAUGAUUAUUUUAUAAGCAAUCAUGAAUAUAUUAUAUUAUAUUAAUGAUGUACCUUUUGUAUAAUGGGUCAGCAAGUAAUUAAUAUUAGUAAAACAAUAAGUUAUAAAUAAAUAGAAUAAUAUAUAUAUAUAAAAAAAUAUAUUAAAAUAUUUAAUUAAUAUUAAUUGACCCGAAAGCAAACGAUCUAACUAUGAUAAGAUGGAUAAACGAUCGAACAGGUUGAUGUUGCAAUAUCAUCUGAUUAAUUGUGGUUAGUAGUGAAAGACAAAUCUGGUUUGCAGAUAGCUGGUUUUCUAUGAAAUAUAUGUAAGUAUAGCCUUUAUAAAUAAUAAUUAUUAUAUAAUAUUAUAUAAAUAUUAUAUAAAGAAUGGUACAGCAAUUAAUAUAUAUUAGGGAACUAUUAAAGUUUUAUUAAUAAUAUUAAAUCUCGAAAUAUUUAAUUAUAUAUAAUAAAGAGUCAGAUUAUGUGCGAUAAGGUAAAUAAUCUAAAGGGAAACAGCCCAGAUUAAGAUAUAAAGUUCCUAAUAAAUAAUAAGUGAAAUAAAUAUUAAAAUAUUAUAAUAUAAUCAGUUAAUGGGUUUGACAAUAACCAUUUUUUAAUGAACAUGUAACAAUGCACUGAUUUAUAAUAAAUAAAAAAAAUAAUAUUUAAAAUCAAAUAUAUAUAUAUUUGUUAAUAGAUAAUAUACGGAUCUUAAUAAUAAGAAUUAUUUAAUUCCUAAUAUGGAAUAUUAUAUUUUUAUAAUAAUAAUAAAAAUAUAAAUACUGAAUAUCUAAAUAUUAUUAUUACUUUUUUUUUUAAUAAUAAUAAUAUGGUAAUAGAACAUUUAAUGAUAAUAUAUAUUAGUUAUUAAUUAAUAUAUGUAUUAAUUAAAUAGAGAAUGCUGACAUGAGUAACGAAAAAAAGGUAUAAACCUUUUCACCUAAAACAUAAGGUUUAACUAUAAAAGUACGGCCCCUAAUUAAAUUAUAUAAGAAUAUAAAUAUAUUUAAGAUGGGAUAAUCUAUAUUAAUAAAAAUUUAUCUUAAAAUAUAUAUAUUAUUAAUAAUUAUAUUAAUUAAUUAAUAAUAUAUAUAAUUAUAUUAUAUAUUAUAUUUUUAUAUAUAAUAUAUAUAAUAUAAACUAAUAAAGAUCAGGAAAUAAUUAAUGUAUACCGUAAUGUAGACCGACUCAGGUAUGUAAGUAGAGAAUAUGAAGGUGAAUUAGAUAAUUAAAGGGAAGGAACUCGGCAAAGAUAGCUCAUAAGUUAGUCAAUAAAGAGUAAUAAGAACAAAGUUGUACAACUGUUUACUAAAAACACCGCACUUUGCAGAAACGAUAAGUUUAAGUAUAAGGUGUGAACUCUGCUCCAUGCUUAAUAUAUAAAUAAAAUUAUUUAACGAUAAUUUUAUUAAAUUUAGGUAAAUAGCAGCCUUAUUAUGAGGGUUAUAAUGUAGCGAAAUUCCUUGGCCUAUAAUUGAGGUCCCGCAUGAAUGACGUAAUGAUACAACAACUGUCUCCCCUUUAAGCUAAGUGAAAUUGAAAUCGUAGUGAAGAUGCUAUGUACCUUCAGCAAGACGGAAAGACCCUAUGCAGCUUUACUGUAAUUAGAUAGAUCGAAUUAUUGUUUAUUAUAUUCAGCAUAUUAAGUAAUCCUAUUAUUAGGUAAUCGUUUAGAUAUUAAUGAGAUACUUAUUAUAAUAUAAUGAUAAUUCUAAUCUUAUAAAUAAUUAUUAUUAUUAUUAUUAUUAAUAAUAAUAAUAUGCUUUCAAGCAUAGUGAUAAAACAUAUUUAUAUGAUAAUCACUUUACUUAAUAGAUAUAAUUCUUAAGUAAUAUAUAAUAUAUAUUAUAUAUAUAUUAUAUAUAAUAUAAGAGACAAUCUCUAAUUGGUAGUUUUGAUGGGGCGUCAUUAUCAGCAAAAGUAUCUGAAUAAGUCCAUAAAUAAAUAUAUAAAAUUAUUGAAUAAAAAAAUAAUAUAUAUUAUAUAUAUUAAUUAUAAAUUGAAAUAUGUUUAUAUAAAUUUAUAUUUAUUGAAUAUAUUUUAGUAAUAGAUAAAAAUAUGUACAGUAAAAUUGUAAGGAAAACAAUAAUAACUUUCUCCUCUCUCGGUGGGGGUUCACACCUAUUUUUAAUAGGUGUGAACCCCUCUUCGGGGUUCCGGUUCCCUUUCGGGUCCCGGAACUUAAAUAAAAAUGGAAAGAAUUAAAUUAAUAUAAUGGUAUAACUGUGCGAUAAUUGUAACACAAACGAGUGAAACAAGUACGUAAGUAUGGCAUAAUGAACAAAUAACACUGAUUGUAAAGGUUAUUGAUAACGAAUAAAAGUUACGCUAGGGAUAACAGGGUAAUAUAACGAAAGAGUAGAUAUUGUAAGUUAUGUUUGCCACCUCGAUGUCGACUCAACAUUUCCUCUUGGUUGUAAAAGCUAAGAAGGGUUUGACUGUUCGUCAAUUAAAAUGUUACGUGAGUUGGGUUAAAUACGAUGUGAAUCAGUAUGGUUCCUAUCUGCUGAAGGAAAUAUUAUCAAAUUAAAUCUCAUUAUUAGUACGCAAGGACCAUAAUGAAUCAACCCAUGGUGUAUCUAUUGAUAAUAAUAUAAUAUAUUUAAUAAAAAUAAUACUUUAUUAAUAUAUUAUCUAUAUUAGUUUAUAUUUUAAUUAUAUAUUAUCAUAGUAGAUAAGCUAAGUUGAUAAUAAAUAAAUAUUGAAUACAUAUUAAAUAUGAAGUUGUUUUAAUAAGAUAAUUAAUCUGAUAAUUUUAUACUAAAAUUAAUAAUUAUAGGUUUUAUAUAUUAUUUAUAAAUAUAAUAUAAUAAUUAUUAUUAUUAAUAAAAAAAAUAUUAAUUAUA
rnacentral:rRNA from 1 species